AGGGAUGCCGUGGUGGGGCUGGACAGGGCCAGAUGCUCUCCCCCUGCUUAACCGAAAGGGCAUCACCGCUUUGCUGGGUGCCCCGUUGCUCAGUCCACAGGGGGACCUUGCCUCUCCAAGCAGACCGGGCUAAUCAUUACUUGACUUUUAUUUGAACAUCUGCGCCCUGCCACAGGCCCCAAAGUGGCCAACCAAAACUAAAAUCCCAUAGAAAGCAAAAAGGUCAUUUCCCAAAGCGCCAUGAAAUGGGGCACACCCCACAUGCUGUGGGGGCAGAGCAGGCACUGGAAAACUACCACUAGAAGACAAACAACCCUGUUCAAAGCAGCCAUUGAGCAGCAACUGUUACCCAGCAACCAUCAAUGAUAGAACCCUGGCCCUGUUUGAGCAGGAAUAACUGUCCUUCUGGCCUUCCUCUUCCCUGGGGGUUACCAACCUCUCCUCCUGUGCCUUUCAAAGCAACCCAAGAAAAGUGUCAGGAGAUAAGGAUCAGAUGAGGAUCUGGGGCCCAAUUCUCAUUCAGCCUGAAGCUCCCUGGGGGGAAUUGGGGCCAAUCUCUUGCUAUCUACUGGCUUUUGGCCAAAGGCACUCAAGACUCUUCAGAAAUGGAUUGCGAGAACGCCUGACCUGAGAAAUUGACACAAGAUUGAGCGGAGGUGAAUGCACUGUUUAACAAGAAGAAGGCAGAUCACCAAAGACGGUGGGAGUCCUGUGAUGAGGUUGGGAGGUCGGGAGAAGCUAAGAAGAAGGAGAGAAGAGACUCUACAGUGGGAGAACCACUUUGGGAAGAGCAGGAUCAGCCCCUUUAUCAUUUCGGUUUCCCUCUUCUGCUGCACCGUCUUCAGUUCGACAGUAUCGCUUUUUUGGUAAUCUGGCGACCGGAACGAUACACUUUACUUCUGAGGAACAGCUACAACUGGAAACAAGGUCAGCUUCAUGUUGUUGUUGUUGUUGUUGUUGUUGUUGUUGUUGUUGUUGUUGUUGUUAUAGCCCAGUAAGCUUCCAGACCACCUUGGGUUUAUUCUCUCUUUUUGACAGUUAAAGCACCACAUUUUCAUUGAUGCCAGGAGAUGUUGAACAGUAGGGCACACAUCCUGGGGUGCCUCUGUUAUGGCACAAGAGAUAUUCCCAGACUGAUUGGGCAGGGUUUGGACCACAAUGUGUGUCUGGACAUUUAAAUUUGCAUUCUGAUUGGGCAAGACCUCUAGGGUUUUUAAAUUCUGUCUUGAUCGAAUUGGGCAAGAUCUCUAGGAUUUUUAAAUUGUAUCUGGAAUUGGGCAAGAUCAAGGCCUGUGUGGGCCUCGAUUUUUAAAUUGCAUCCCCCAGCUUGACCUUUACAAUUGUAUUCUGAUUGGGCAAGACCUCUAGGGUUUUUAAAUUCUGUAUGGAAUUGGGCAAGAUCAGGGCCUGUGUGGGCCUCGAUUUUUAAAUUGCAUCCCCCAGCUUGACCUUUACAAUUGUAUUCUGAUUGGGCAAGACCUCUAGGGUUUUUAAAUUCUGUAUGGAAUUGGGCAAGAUCAGGGCCUGUGUGGGCCUCGAUUUUUAAAUUGCAUCCCCCAGCUUGACUGAGCACACAAUCUCUAGGUUCCCUUAGAGUGAAUUGGGCAUGAUACCCUUUUUUUUAAAUUCCAUGUUUGGGCAGCUUUCAGCCAGUGGACUGGAGUCCCACGAGCUUGGAAUCUCCAUUGGCUCAACUGGGCAAGACAAUUGGUGUCUUUAAAUUCUGUCAGGGCCUUGUGGACAUAUUUUUCAGCCAGGGGUGUAGUGUUAAAUUUGGAUCGACUGACCACCCACUUUUAUUCAUGCUCAUGAUAAAGUCUGAAUCAAAUGGAUCACGUUGCGUGUUUUAUAUGCGCUGUGUCCCAAGUCUUGAGUGACCCAUGAAGAGAUGAGUUCUUCUUUAGUGCGCUCAUGGCCAUCUCGGAUCCUUAUUCCUUACUCAAGGAAAGCAUUGAUUGAGAAUGCUGGGCUCAAGGUUUUGAUGCUUUUCUGUCUAUUGAUAAAAUGGAAGGAAUCAUUUCACAUGCAAAUGUUUAAAUUGGUUCUGUCAUGCAAGGGUUUUGAGAACUGUCUGGACUAAAGAAAUAGUUUGAUUGCCUUGUCAGCAAGAGAGGUGCCUGCAGCCUAGGCGGCAACCAUGCUAUCUUGCACAGACACAAAAAGCCUUUUGGAAGGUUGUGUCUUUGUUGAAGAUGAUGUUUAGCAUUUUAGCAUUCAAGACUCUUCAGACACGGAUUGCGAGAACGCCUGGCCUGAGAAAUUGACACCCGAGUGAAUGGAGGCGAAUGCACCUGCUUAAGUUGAGGAAGGCAGAUCACCAAAGGCGGCAGGAGUCCUUUGGUGAGGAUGGGAGGUCGGGAGAAGCUAAGAAGAAGGAGAGAAGAGACUCUACAGUGGGAGAACCACUUUGGGAAGAGCAGGAUCAGCCCCUUUAUCAUUUCGGUUUCCCUCUUCUGCUGCACCGUCUUCAGUUCGACAGUAUCGCUUUUUUGGUAAUCUGGCGACCGGAACGAUACACUUUACUUCUGAGGAACAGCUACAACUGGAAACAAGGUCAGCUUCAUGUUGUUGUUGUUGUUGUUGUUGUUGUUGUUGUUAUAGCCCAGUAUGCUUCCAGACCACCUUGGGUUUAUUCUCUCUUUUUGACAGUUAAAGCAACACAUUUUCAUUGAUGCCAGGAGAUGUUGAACAGUAGGGCACACAUCCUGGGGUGCCUCUGUUAUGGCACAAGAGAUAUUCCCAGACUGAUUGGGCAGGGUUUGGACCACAAUGUGUGUCUGGACAUUUAAAUUUGCAUUCUGAUUGGGCAAGACCUCUAGGGUUUUUAAAUUCUGUCUUGAUCGAAUUGGGCAAGAUCUCUAGGAUUUUUAAAUUGUAUAUGGAAUUGGGCAAGAUCAAGGCCUGUGUGGGCCUCGAUUUUUAAAUUGCAUCCCCCAGCUUGACCUUUACAAUUGUAUUCUGAUUGGGCAAGACCUCUAGGGUUUUUAAAUUCUGUAUGGAAUUGGGCAAGAUCAGGGCCUGUGUGGGCCUCGAUUUUUAAAUUGCA